rnacentral:rRNA from 1 species
AUUGAACGCUGGCGGCAGGCUUAACACAUGCAAGUCGAGCGGUAGCACAAGAGAGCUUGCUCUCUGGGUGACGAGCGGCGGACGGGUGAGUAAUGUCUGGGAAACUGCCUGAUGGAGGGGGAUAACUACUGGAAACGGUAGCUAAUACCGCAUAACGUCGCAAGACCAAAGAGGGGGACCUUCGGGCCUCUUGCCAUCAGAUGUGCCCAGAUGGGAUUAGCUAGUAGGUGGGGUAAUGGCUCACCUAGGCGACGAUCCCUAGCUGGUCUGAGAGGAUGACCAGCCACACUGGAACUGAGACACGGUCCAGACUCCUACGGGAGGCAGCAGUGGGGAAUAUUGCACAAUGGGCGCAAGCCUGAUGCAGCCAUGCCGCGUGUGUGAAGAAGGCCUUCGGGUUGUAAAGCACUUUCAGCGAGGAGGAAGGUGGUGAACUUAAUACGUUCAUCAAUUGACGUGACUCGCAGAAGAAGCACCGGCUAACUCCGU